UAAUAAAUAACUUAAAUAUUAAAGUAUUGAUUUUUUAAUUCAAAUAUAGUUAUUUGCUUUUAUUAA
rnacentral:tRNA from 1 species